rnacentral:rRNA from 1 species
GACAGAGGUGCCAAGCGUUAGGCGGAAUCACUGGGCUUAAAGCGUGUGUAGGCGGAUGCCUAAGUACCUUGUGAAAUCCCACGGCUCAACCGUGGAACUGCUGGGUAUACUGGGUGUCUUGGGUCAGCUAGGGGUUGCCGGAACAAAUGGUGGAGCGGUGAAAUGCGCAGAUAUCAUUUGGAACGCCAAUGGUGAAAACAGGUCGCUGGGAGUGUGCUGACGCUGAGACACGAAAGCCAGGGGAGCAAACGGG